rnacentral:rRNA from 1 species
GACGAACGCUGGCAGCGUGCUUAACACAUGCAAGUCGAACGGUGAACGAGGGAGCUUGCUCCCUCCGGAUCAGUGGCGAACGGGUGAGUAACACGUGAGCAAUCUGCCCCGAACUCUGGGAUAAGCGUUGGAAACGACGUCUAAUACCGGAUACGACGCGGGAGGGCAUCCUCUCCGCGUGGAAAGAACUUCGGUUCGGGAUGAGCUCGCGGCCUAUCAGCUUGUUGGUGAGGUAACGGCUCACCAAGGCGACGACGGGUAGCCGGCCUGAGAGGGUGACCGGCCACACUGGGACUGAGACACGGCCCAGACUCCUACGGGAGGCAGCAGUGGAGAAUAUUGCACAAUGGGCGCAAGCCUGAUGCAGCAACGCCGCGUGAGGGACGACGGCCUUCGGGUUGUAAACCUCUUUUAGCAGGGAAGAAGCGAAAGUGACGGUACCUGCAGAAAAAGCACCGGCUAACUACGUG